rnacentral:tRNA from 1 species
UCUAGACUAGUGUAUUUAAGCACAUAAAAUUUUCGUUUUUAUAGAGUGGGUUAUCCUCGCCUAGAU